rnacentral:tRNA from 1 species
GAGUAUGCAGCUUUGUGGUCAUAGCUUUGCAAAAGCUAAUGAGGAAGUUUAUAUUCCCGUACUU